AGACCUCAGGUCAGGCGGGGCUACCCGCUGAGUUUAAGCAUAUCAAUAAGCGGAGGAAAAGAAACUAACAAGGAUUCCCUUAGUAACGGCGAGCGAACCGGGAAUAGCCCACCAUGAAAAUCGGUCGCCUCUGGCGUCUGAAUUGUAGUCUGGAGAAGCGUCCUCAGUGGCGGACCGGGCCCAAGUCCCCCUGGAAAGGGGCGCCAGAGAGGGUGAGAGCCCCGUCGUGCUCGGACCCUGUCGCACCACGAGGCGCUGUCGCGAGUCGGUUGUUUGGGAAUGCAGCCCCAUCGGGCGGUAAAUUCCGUCCAGGCUAAAUACUGGCGAGAAGACCGAUA
rnacentral:rRNA from 1 species